rnacentral:rRNA from 1 species
CAGCAGCCGCGGGAACACGGAGGGUGCAAGCGUUAUCCGGAUUUAUUGGGUUUAAAGGGUCCGUAGGCGGACUUAUAAGUCAGUGGUGAAAGCCUGUCGCUUAACGAUAGAACUGCCAUUGAUACUGUAAGUCUUGAGUAUAUUUGAGGUAGCUGGAAUAAGUAGUGUAGCGGUGAAAUGCAUAGAUAUUACUUAGAACACCAAUUGCGAAGGCAGGUUACCAAGAUAUAACUGACGCUGAGGGACGAAAGCGUGGGUAGCGAACAGGAUUAGAGACCCCCGUAGUCCCUGUCUCUUAUAA